rnacentral:rRNA from 1 species
CCUUCGGGAAGCGAGCGUACACAGGUGCUGCAUGGCUGUCGUCAGCUCGUGUCGUGAGAUGUUGGGUUAAGUCCCGCAACGAGCGCAACCCUUGCCUUUAGUUGCCAGCAGUUCGGCUGGGCACUCUAAAGGGACUGCCGGUGUUAAACCGGAGGAAGGUGGGGAUGACGUCAAGUCCUCAUGGCCUUUAUGACCAGGGCUACACACGUACUACAAUGGCCGAUACAAAGGGCAGCGACACUGCGAGGUGAAGCCAAUCCCGUAAAAAUCGGUCUCAGUCCGGAUUGGAGUCUGCAACUCGACUCCAUGAAGUUGGAAUCGCUAGUAAUCGUGGAUCAGCAUGCCACGGUGAAUACGGUUCCCGGGCCUU